rnacentral:rRNA from 1 species
UACGGAGGGUGCGAGCGUUGUUCGGAAUCACUGGGCGUAAAGCGCGUGUAGGCGGCCCACUAAGUCUGAUGUGAAAGCCCGGGGCUCACCCCCGGAAGUGCAUUGGAAACUGGUGGACUAGAGUCCCGGAGAGGAGAGUGGAAUUCCUGGUGUAGCGGUGAAAUGCGCAGAUAUCAGGAGGAACACCAAUGGCGAAGGCAGCUCACUGGGACGGUAUUGACGCUGAGACGCGAAAGCGUGGGGAGCAAACAGG